CGAUCAUUAAUUCUUGGUUACAUCGUCCCAUUCACCCAAUGCUUAUACCGCAGGGGACCCUCUACUCUAUUCUUUUGUUCCGACUAGGCCAUAGAUCCUGCUUCAAAUAACUGUUGUAUAACAUCAUUUCAGGUAAGAGCUUUGACGACAUCGAAGCCACAUCAGCAAUAAGGUACCUAGAGAGUGACACGGAGCAAAGAUCCUGCCCCGUGGUACGCAAACCCGUCCCACUAUUAAAUCCCAAGAAGCUACGUGAUAACAAGACGCAAACAAACCUUUGAACAAAGGCUAAUCACCCAUCAAAAUCGUAGUAACUUUCAUGAACCAAGCCUACGAAAAUAUCCAUAAGGCUAACUUGUUUUACCUGCCAACUUCGAGUUAUAAAAGGCUCAGAUGGGUAAUUAAACACUCCCUGCACUUCUCUCCAUCACUUCUUAAUUCAUAUUAAGCUAGUGGCGGAGAGAAGAGCACAGCCAUGGGCGUCGCCGGGAGGGAGCUUGGCGUUCUGAAGCUCGUGCACCCCGGCGGGUUCGUGGAGGUCCACCGGCAGCCGGUGGUGGCAGCGGACGUCAUGGCAAAAAACCCAAGGCAUUCCAUCACCGGGACAGAUGUGUUCAAGAAUCCAAGGUUGGUGGUCCGACCUGACACACUGCUGAAGACUGGCGACGUGUUCUACAUCGUCCCAAAUCGCACGCUCUAUCGUUUGAUGCAGGCCUCCAACCGCGUGUGAUGUCGAGUGCUUGGCUUCUAUCGGAAUAAAAGAUAUUAAUAAAAGAUCAAAUGAGCUGAGAUCUCUCGCUCUUUCUUCUAUUACUUGUAAGACUUAUGAGCUCGUUUCAUAUAUGAAUGUUUUCAAUGAAGACUGGCUCUCCCUUUCCUCUGUUAUAGCAGCUAACACGUCGCUUAAAAAAAAAGGAAAAUAAUUACUAGGAUCCAUGCCUAUCCGGAGCUCUCUCUUCCUCUAUUUGAACGUCCGUUUCAGAAUAAACAUAAAUUUUAUAAAAUAAACACCUAAUUUAUGAGGACAAAUAUAAUUAGAGUUAACGAAAAUUGGUAAGUGAUAAAUAAAAAGCCACAUGGAUGCUCAUUAUUUACCUGUAUUUAGCUCUAGAAAUAAAUGAAACUUGUCAAAAACAAACACCAACUAUUCUUGAGCAAACGUAAACUUUGCGGUGAUAAACACAAAUAUCAUAAAAAUAAAUAAAAGUAGAGAGUCUUUUUAUAGGUCCAAUAAAGUGGACGUCCA
rnacentral:lncRNA from 1 species